AUUGAACGCUGGCGGCAUGCCUUACACAUGCAAGUCGAACGGUAACAGGUUAAGCUGACGAGUGGCGAACGGGUGAGUAAUACAUCGGAACGUGCCCAGACGUGGGGGAUAGCUCGGCGAAAGCCGGAUUAAUACCGCAUAAGCUCUGAGGAGGAAAGCGGGGGACCGUAAGGCCUCGAGCGGUUGGGGCGGCCGAUGGCAGAUUAGGUAGUUGGUGGGGUAAAGGCUUACCAAGCCUACGAUCUGUAGCUGGUCUGAGAGGACGACCAGCCACACUGGGACUGAGACACGGCCCAGACUCCUACGGGAGGCAGCAGUGGGGAAUUUUGGACAAUGGGCGCAAGCCUGAUCCAGCAAUGCCGCGUGCAGGAUGAAGGCCUUCGGGUUGUAAACUGCUUUUGUACGGAACGAAAAGGCGCCUACUAAUACUGGGUGUUGAUGACGGUACCGUAAGAAUAAGCACCGGCUAACUACGUGCCAGCAGCCGCAGUAA
rnacentral:rRNA from 1 species